AUUGAACGCUGGCGGCAGGCCUAACACAUGCAAGUCGAGCGAGCGGCGGACGGGUGAGUAAUGUCUGGUAAACUGCCUGAUGGAGGGGGAUAACUACUGGAAACGGUAGCUAAUACCGCAUACCAUCAGAUGUGCCCAGAUGGGAUUAGCUAGUAGGUGGGGUAAUGGCUCACCUCGGCGACGAUCCCUAGCUGGUCUGAGAGGAUGACCCGCCACACGGGAACUGAGACACGGUGCAGACGCCUACGGGAGGCAGCAGGGGGGAAUAGUGCACAAUGGGGGCAAGCCUGAUGCAGCCAUGCCGCGUGUGUGAAGAAGGCCUUCGGGUUGUAAAGCACUUUCAGCGGGGAGGCGUUACCCGCAGAAGAAGCACCGGAUAACUCCGUGCCAGCAGCCGCGGUAAUAC
rnacentral:rRNA from 1 species